rnacentral:rRNA from 1 species
GUCGACGAUGAUGCCCAGCUUGCUGGGCGGAUUAGUGGCGAACGGGUGAGUAAUACGUGAGUAACCUGCCCUUGACUCUGGGAUAAGCCUGGGAAACUGGGUCUAAUACUGGAUACUACCUCUUACCGCAUGGUGGGUGGUGGAAAGGGUUUUACUGGUUUUGGAUGGGCUCACGGCCUAUCAGCUUGUUGGUGGGGUAAUGGCUCACCAAGGCGACGACGGGUAGCCGGCCUGAGAGGGUGACCGGCCACACUGGGACUGAGACACGGCCCAGACUCCUACGGGAGGCAGCAGUGGGGAAUAUUGCACAAUGGGCGGAAGCCUGAUGCAGCGACGCCGCGUGAGGGAUGACGGCCUUCGGGUUGUAAACCUCUUUCAGUAGGGAAGAAGCGAGAGUGACGGUACCUGCAGAAGAAGCGCCGGCUAACUACGUGCCAGCAGCCGCGGUAAUACGUAGGGCGCAAGCGUUGUCCGGAAUUAUUGGGCGUAAAGAGCUCGUAGGCGGUUUGUCGCGUCUGCUGUGAAAGCCCGGGGCUCAACCCCGGGUCUGCAGUGGGUACGGGCAGACUAGAGUGCAGUAGGGGAGACUGGAAUUCCUGGUGUAGCGGUGAAAUGCGCAGAUAUCAGGAGGAAC